rnacentral:misc_RNA from 1 species
UUUCCGUAGGUGAACCUGCGGAAGGAUCAUUAAUGAAAUGCAAGGACGCUCUUUUUAGAGGUCCGACCCAAAUCAUUUUCCUUUACACUGUGCACAUACUACUUUUUUCUACACCAUUUUUUAUACGCAAUAGUCUUAAGAAUGUAAAAUCAGUCUCGAAAGAGCAAUAAAAGUAAUAAAACUUUCAGCAACGGAUCUCUUGGCUCUCGCAUCGAUGAGAAGCAGC